rnacentral:rRNA from 1 species
UACGUAGGGUGCGAGCGUUGUCCGGAAUUAUUGGGCGUAAAGAGCUCGUAGGCGGCUUGUCGCGUCGGCUGUGAAAACCCGGGGCUCAACCCCGGGCCUGCAGUCGAUACGGGCAAACUAGAGUGUGGUAGGGGAGACUGGAAUUCCUGGUGUAGCGGUGAAAUGCGCAGAUAUCAGGAGGAACACCGGUGGCGAAGGCGGGUCUCUGGGCCAUAACUGACGCUGAGGAGCGAAAGCGUGGGGAGCGAACAGG